GUGAUGCCUUGAAGGAAGCACAAAGCCAUAGUCACUGACUAGAAAGAGAGAUUAGAGAUAAGAUCCAGGUGGGUCACAGGGGCUGGUGGGGCUGGUGGGGUAGGUAUGUUUUGAAACAGGCCUGUCUAGUUAGAGGUCAGGCAUUCGUCUCUAUGAGGCAGGAUUCCAGCAGAAGGAAGGAGGGUAGGAAGUAGGAAAACUCAAACAAUCCAACAAGCAGAGUUUGGCAGGAGGAAGAUUACAUGGUGAGGAAUCAUCAGAAUCAUUAGAAACCAUCAUAGAAAGAUAGAGGUCUUAUUGUGAGUGACGUUGGAACCAAGAUACUGUGUUUUUUACAAAUCGACGGUUCAAGACUUCAGUGGGGGAAGUAACAACAGAUGUGAAUAUUAGCAAGAGAAGUGGAAUAUCGCAGCGGAACUGGAAGAUGGGACUGAAUUGUCGUGAUCUCAUGAUAAAACUUGAAUGGAUGAGGAGUUGUUUCUUAAGAACGAGCAAAAGAAAGUAGUUUUUGAGAUGGAAUCUACUCCUGGUGAAGAUGCUAUAAAGAUUGUUGAAAUGGCCACAAAGGAUUCAGAAUUUACAUGGACUUAGUUGAUAAAGCAGGAACUUUGAAAGAAGUUAAACUGUGGGUGAAAUGCAAUAAUUUCUACAUUUCACAGAUAAAUCAUUCAGGAAGGGGGGAGUCAAUCACCGUGGCAAACUUUAUUGUUGUCUUAUCUGAAGACACUACCAUGGCGACACCAACCUUCAGCAACCCGCACCCAGAUCAGUCAGUUGCCACCAGCGUUGAGGCAAGACCCUCCAUCAACAAAAAGAUUAUGAGUCUCCCAAGGCUCAGAUGAUGAUACGUGUGCUAGAUUUGGGCCACAAAACAGUGGCAGAAAUAAGGAGCAAGGUGAACGGUGUCUAUCAUUCUUGCAUGCAAGCGUCCACCCAUCCCACCAACACAGAGGGUGCACUACUUACACAUCAGUCAUUGCCAUGGGAAGAAGAAUCAACCAAAAUUCCCUGUCUCCAGAGGUUCAAGGUUGAUGUUGCGGAGAGAGACACAUGAGUACAGUCUCAGAAAGAAGUGCUAAUAAAAUUUUACAUAUUAUGCAAUGGAACCUAGGUUUUUAACAUUGUGC